rnacentral:rRNA from 1 species
CCUACGGGAGGCUGCAGUGAGGAAUAUUGGUCAAUGGCCGAGAGGCUGAACCAGCCAAGUCGCGUGAGGGAAGACGGCCCUACGGGUUGUAAACCUCUUUUGUCGGGGAGCAAAGCGAGUCACGUGUGACUCAUUGAGAGUACCCGAAGAAAAAGCAUCGGCUAACUCCGUGCCAGCAGCCGCGGUAAUACGGAGGAUGCGAGCGUUAUCCGGAUUUAUUGGGUUUAAAGGGUGCGCAGGCGGAGGUGCAAGUCAGCGGUCAAAUUGCGGGGCUCAACCUCUUCGAGCCGUUGAAACUGGUUUUCUUGAGUGAGCGAGAAGUAUGCGGAAUGCGUGGUGUAGCGGUGAAAUGCAUAGAUAUCACGCAGAACUCCGAUUGCGAAGGCAGCAUACCGGCGGCGAUCUGACGCUGAGGCACGAAAGCGUGGGUAUCGAACAGGAUUAGAUACCCCUGUAGUC